UGGGCAACCUGCCCUGUACUGGGGAAUAAUCAUUGGAAGCGAUGACUAAUACCGCAUGUGGUCCUCGGAAGGCAUCUUCUGAGGAAGAAAGGAUUUAUUCGGUACAGGAUGGGCCCGCAUCUGAUUAGCUAGUUGGUGAGAUAACAGCCCACCAAGGCGACGAUCAGUAGCCGACCUGAGAGGGUGAUCGGCCACAUUGGGACUGAGACACGGCCCAA
rnacentral:rRNA from 1 species